CCUGUCGUUAUGAACUGAGAGGAUCGAAAAUAAACCACGAACCACAAACCGGCAAAAAUUAACCAGCGAAAAAAAACGGGACACUGUGCGGACUCGAUCGAGGUCUCGUGCCCUCGAGCAAGGUCUCGUGUUCUUCUUGCGAGGAACAGUCGCCCGACAGUGCCCUCCUUCGCCCGCCGCCGCCCAUCGGUCCUUCACCGCCAUCGAUCCAUCCCUGCACCGCCGCCCCCAACCUUCUAUUCCUCUCCCAAGGGAAUCCCAAGGGAAGGGAAGGGAAGGGAAGGGAAGGGAGAGGGAGCGCCCAGAUCCACGACGGCAUUUGCACUUCGCCCCCGCCGCUGCAUCCCUUCGCCGGUGCCCUCCCAGUUCAAAGCCGCCACCGCUUUGCUUCAUGAGCCGACGACGAUCUACUUGUGGAGUCGCACGAUGAUCCCUUCCCGGAUCCGCCGCCGAUCACUUUCAGGAUCCGCCGCAGAUCACUUCCAGGAUCCACUGCCGACCACUUCUAGGAUCCGCCGCGUACCGCCUACAGGAUCCGCCGCCGAUCACUUCAAGGUUCCGCCGCGUACCGCCUAUAGGAUCCGCCCGUUCGUGGGGCAGCUAGCUUUGCUGAUGCAUAUGCCGACAUGAUAAACAAGAUAUGCAUGCAUAUUUUAAUUUUAUUUGGAGAUAAGAUAUAUAUGCGAUACUAAUUGCUAAGUCGAGGAAGCAAGGUGUGUAGGUUCUCCUUGAUAUUGUUUUUUUUCUACAUUGUCGCACACUUGAAAAACAAUCCUUGCGUUUAGCCAAUAGUGUGUAGCUUCUCCUCGAUAUUGAUUCUCAUACUUACAGUGUUGGAUACUUUGCUUAACACGAAACUGGAACAUGAAACAUUGAUGCAGGUUUCAUGAUGGAACUGGAAAGGCCCUUUUGAAGGCAUGAGAACAUCUACAAACCAAUAUUGUGCAAUAGUAUAUACUCAUUGAUGUGUUGGGGAUGAUGAGAUUUUUGUAACCAACGGUUUCUGAGCUAACAUCGAAACAUAAGAUGUAUAUCUCACGCUGGACCAUUAAAAACAUUAGAUUUCCCUACAUUUCUGUCAUCGAACAUCAGAACUACUAUUUCAAAUUCAUUGGCAUUUGGUGCUAUGUUCUGUACCAUAUCAGAACUAUUUCCCUUUUAUUUUGGUGUGGAUAUAUACAUGUAUGUACACGCAUAUUAACUAUUGGACUAUGCAUCAGCAUUAAUAUUUACACAUUACAAUGUACAUUCAUACAUUCAUUUCGUACAGAGAUCGGGACAAAGGAGUUCUGAAGAAGAAGAUUCAUCUACAGAAUAUAUAAUAUGCAUUGAAGAAAACAGAGAUUCAUCUUGGUGAGCACUAACCGUUCAUUAUAGAUUGUUGGCGAGAUAAGUUGCUCCUAUGACUAAAAUUGUGCCGGCGCUCUGAUUUACUACUCGGUGCCCUUUCUAGAGGUAAAUUUUAUUAUUAUUUUGGUCGUGUACGUGUGUGGGGGGAGGGUGUCUUGAUUGAUUCACUAACUGUUCUAGCUUUGACGUUGUAUGUCAUCAGCUUGGGUUUGUUCCAUCAGACUUUUCACACAUUAUAUGACUUCGUUAGAAUUCAGGUUGCGUUCUGUCUUUUACUUUAGAAAAAUAGCGAGUGAACCUUUUUUGAAAUUCGGUCUGCCACAUAGAGAGGAACUCAUUGGCUCCCCGGCACCAUCGAGCACUGAGGUUGACCAAACAAGUGUGCGAACAUUUAUGAGAUUUGUAAUUUGAAAACUAUAUAAAGCCAAAUAACUAUGAACACACCCUUGGAAUAAAUGUGAAAGGAUAAUCUGCGGUCUUAAUGGAAAAAAUUGAAACAUUAGCUAGGAUUUGUUGGUUAGAUUCAUGUUGCUCCAUCCAUUUACUAUCAGUUCCUUUCAUAUAUUGCUUCCAUCAGAACAUGUUGACCUGAUUGUCCAUGGUUACACUCAUCUUCAAAUGGCACAACUUGUUUUGCUGCCACAUCUUCUCUUACCAUACGAUGAAUAGGUACUAUGUUCCAUCCCUCUCUUAUUUCACACUGCAUUAACAAUGUUUUUUCAGUGUGUCGAUUUGCCUAACUAUGCCUUAUUGAUUACUGAUUUUGUUACUAAUGUGUACACAAACCCUGCCUAAUUAAUUUAGUCCACUAUAUCUAACCAUAUGAAAAGUGAAAGUUGAUUCUGACUACUUGCCUGGUGGUGCGGUACAUUACCUCCUUUUCAAAUUAUGAGAGCGGAACGACAGCAUUGGCAUGGACGACUCGGAGCUCAACCCCGUCAAGGGCCGCGAGCAGGAGUGGCUUUCUUUUCAACAAGAAGAUGACCAAGGUCCAAGGGCGCCGUCAGCCACUUUGUCGUUGUCAUCGAAGAGUCCAAGAUUGUCCCCGCAUCGGUUGCAUUGGUGCCGAUCAGGUGCUAAUCUGAAUCCUUGUCCAAUUGCAAUUAGCUUUUACUUCUUUCCAUUGAUUGCUACAGAUUUUGGGAGAACACUGUUGUCCACGUUAUAUCAUAUACUUCCAAAUUAUAAAGCGUUCUUGUUGUAUGUAAGUUACCUAUUAUCCACAGAAUACAAGUAGUGGUUCAGAACUACAGAGAAAAGUCUUAAGAUAUUCAUCGUUAUUUCUCCAGUAAGAUAUCCCCCUUCCUUAAUACUGCCCUAUUCCUUUUCCCUUUUUCAUGAAAGUGGAAGGAGUGAUGAAGAACUGAAACAUAGUUACAGUGGGCGUUUUUUAUAGGAACAAACUGAAGAAUUUGACAUUAACAUAAUUGUAGUACUAAUUCAGGUGUCCCUGGUUUUAUUACUACUAGAACAUGUUGACCUAAUUGUCCAUGGUUACACUCAUUUUCAAAUGGCACAACUUGUCUUGUUGCACAUCUUCAAAAUCGUUAAUAGGCUACUAGCAGUACCAUUGUAUUUGUCAAUUUUGUACCUGGCAAAGUAAGAUGACCCCUAUUCUUAAGAAUACAUACCUGAGAAUAUUGUAGUGUUAGGAGAUUAGCUUUUACUUUUUUCCAUUGAUUGCUACAGAUUUUGAGAGAACACUGUUGUCCACGUUAUAUCGUAUACUUCCAAAUUAUAAAGAGUUCUUGUUAUAUGUAAGUUCCCUAUUAUCCACACAAUCCAAGCAGUGGUUCAGGACUACAGAGAAAGAAAGCACCAAUAACUUGUUUUUUCAUUUAUUUUUGGUGAUAAAACUGGAUUUUGCUUUUCCAUGAUCAUGUGUCGGUGCCUUUGUCUCUAUCAAAUAUUAGGGGUAAUGAAUUUUCCUGUGCUGGAUCAACAUGCAGAUCCUGCCCACCUUGAAGUCAUAAAUCCAGUGAAGUCAAUUUCAGUAUAUUCAGGACAUAGCCAGUAGCUUAGCAAUUUCCACGAGUAUGUUUUGUUUACAAUAAAGUUGUGUGCAAAAUGUAUAUGCUACAUUAUGCAUGAUUCUCUCUUUUAUCAAAGUAUAUCCAUGUGUUUAUUUUGUCA